CUCGGUAGCUAAGCGAGCGACGUGUGUGAGUGGAGAGACAUUCUUACGUGGUGUGUGUGUGUAAAGUUAGCCGGCAGUAGCCAGCAGUUCAUCUGCAUUUUUGAAAGACUGCAGAAAGAGGGUCUCAACGCUGAGGAGAUAUCCGAGCUGCAGCGGGAAAUUUAUAAAACGAAGCGACGUAGACGAUGUUAUGUCGCAGCAAAGAUUAAUCGACGGGAAGGUAAUUGAAUGUCGAAUACAAGUUGCGGAAAGAUCCGAAGUUGAAAAAGGUACAAGGUGCGAAAAAGGUACGAGGUACGAAAAAGGUGAACGCACCUUGAUAUUGGAAAUAGAGAAAUUAACCUUGAUAUUGGAAAUAGAGGACCUAAAGCUCCGAAGAAUUGGAAAACUUUUUACCAGUUUUUCCAUUGAAAACGCUAAAUGAUUGGCAUGAAUUUGAGACAUUAUUGUCAAACAACGCUGCUGCGCGUGAACAGCUUGAGAAAAUGUUUUCCACUCGUGGGGGAAAAAAUGGUGCUGAGCAUAUUCGACGAAUAUUACGAGCCGUGUUUUCGCCUUGUGUAGCAACAAAAAUAUCCUGGCAAGGACUCAAAAAGAAUGAAAAGUUCAACGGAACUUUCGUUUUACGUGCAUUAUUUAUUUCUGCAAAGCAGCAUUUCAAUAUUGACGAUAGGAAUGUGGAGUUAACCAUAAUUAACUGGUUCCGCCGUUCGUCUGAGAGGAUAAAAAACCCAGAAGACAAUAUCUGAAUGUAUAUUAUAUACCUACCUGAUAAAAUAAAACUUAAUUGUUUGUUUUUCUUCUCCUUUAUAUAUAUAUAUAUAUAUAAAAUAUGUCAAAGUGAA
rnacentral:misc_RNA from 1 species